ACCAAUAUCAUGGGCAUCCAAGAGGCAGC
rnacentral:sRNA from 1 species